rnacentral:sRNA from 1 species
GCCAGGCAUGGUGGCGGGUGCCUGUGGUCCCAGCUACUUGGGAGGCUGAGUCAGGAGAAUGGUGUGAACCCGGGAGGCGGAGCUUGCAGUGAGCCGAGAUCGUGCCACUGCACUUCAGCCUGGGCACAGAGCGAAAUAAUGGCCAAAGUUUUUCUUUAUUCUUUUUUUUUUUUUUUUUGAGGGAGUCUCACUCUGUCGCCCAGGCUGGAGUGCACUGGCACAAUCUCGGCUCACUGCAAGCUCCACCUCCUAGGUUCACACCAUUCUCCUGCCUCAG